GGCAUGAAACUGCUCAGAGGUCUAUAACUUAAGUUUCACUCAUUCAUUCAACGUGCCUCUGUUUAAAGUCUGCCAGUGGCUACCUUCCUUGCACCUCACUGGGCCCUCUGCAGCCCUGCAGGCUCUGGCCCUCCUGUUAUGGCUGUGACUUCAGUGUGCCCAUUACUUGUUCCCUUGCUCACGGCCUCCUCACAAUUCCACUUACUCACCAAGUUCUCUCCUGCCUCAGGACCUUUGCACUUGAUGUUCUCUCUGCCAAGGAUGCUCUUCCCAGCAGGACAGGCUCCUGUAGUCCCAGCUACUCAGAAGGCUGAGGUGGCAGGACUGUUUGAGGCCAGGAAUUCAAGUUCGGUCUGGGCAAAACAGCAAGACCCCGCCUCUAAAAGAAAAAAAAAUGCUCUUCCCAGACUUUACCCAUGGCGGUUCCUCCUGUUAUUUAGAUCUUUGCACAGACAGGCCUCCUUCUCUCACCACCAGUCAAGGAGCCCUAGCCGUCACUUCACCUGCUAAUUUUCUUCCUAGCACUUACUGCUCUAAAAUUAUCUUCGUCAUGUAUCUAAGCAUUUGUUUGCUGUCUGUCUCUUCCCACCAGGAUGCCAGCUCCAUGACAGCAGGGACCGCAUUGUCUCUGCUCAUUCCUCAAGACUCAGCAAGGUGCCAGGUGCCCAGUAAAUGAAGUUUACAUGAAACCAAUAGAGUUUUGAAAUCGAAAAUGUUUCUCAAACUGUAAAGAAGUGGGCACAGGUGAGGGCUAAAGGAGUGAGGGUGGGGGCCUGGCCUGACGCUGGAAGCUCCAGAACGCAGGGCGCUAGAGUCCUCCCGGGCCUCACCGGGAUCCCACCGCAGAGGGCCCCUCCCGCAGGCCGGCGGGAGGGCGGGCGGGGAGCGCGCAGUGGGGCGCGCGGACCGCCAGGGGUGCUGUCGGGGCGCGCACGGCCCACCUGGCGCCCGGGGCCGCGAGCGAGCGCAGCCAGGCCGCCCGGGAACUUUUUUCCUCGCGCUCUCGCUCUCCUUCUCCCCCGCGCGUCGCCCGGCCGCCCGUCCGCCCGCCCGUCCGCUCUUCCUGUGCGGAGGGAUCGCAUUUCCCCGCGGCACCCGCGGACACCAGGCAGGCCCGGCCGGGUGCGCGGCCAGGGCCCGGUCCCCGCGCCGCCCGCUCCCCGCGCCCCGGGCGCCGCCCUCGCCCGCGGCUGGGCUCCGAGAGACUAGUGGGAGAGCGAGUGCGGCGAAGGCGAGAGGCGAGCCGAGCAGGCCGCCCAGCCCGCGGCCCGAGCGCCGGCGCGAGGAGGGGCGCCGCGGCCCACCCUCCUUCCUGCCUGGCCGCGGGCCGGCGGGCCGCCGCGCCCGACCCCAUGGCCACCCAGGCCUCCGGGCCGCGAAGUCGCAGCGCCAGACCCAGGGCCCCGAGUGAGCGCGGGCACCGAGGAUCUCAUCUGGUCACCGCGUUCUGGAAGAGGCGAGAGGGAGAGCGUGAGCGAGAGGAGGAGAGAGACGGCGGGGGAAAGGGAGACGGCGAGACGCGCAGCGCCGGCGCCCGGGAGACCCAGGAGGAGCCCGCAGGAGGCAGGUGCUGCCGUCUUGCGUUCCUGGGAGUCAGAGGAGGGGACGUUUUAUGUCUACAGUGGCUUGGCAGCCCCUAAUCGACGUCUGCUAGAAGGAACAGACAGAUUCCAGAUGGCGUGGCAGUGAUAGAGGAGGUGUGUGUGUGUGCAUGCGUGUGCGUGUGUGUGAGCAUACAUAUGCCUGUGUGCACGCGUGUGUGUGUGCUCAAGCGGCCUCCCUGGGACAGGAGCAGACCCUCCUCAGUCCCCAGCACGGCUGGGUCAUGCUUGAACACGGCCACGAAGGGACUAGAUUACAGGAUCCAGCAGGCCCCAGGGGACGAGGGAGCGGGAAUUGCUCUGCUAAAUGCUUUUGAGCUGUCAGGAAGGG
rnacentral:lncRNA from 1 species